CGGGUGAGUAACACGUGAGUAACCUGCCCUUGACUCUGGGAUAAGCCUGGGAAACCGGGUCUAAUACUGGAUAUGACCUUCUGGCGCAUGCCAUGUUGGUGGAAAGCUUUAUUGCGGUUUUGGAUGGACUCGCGGCCUAUCAGCUUGUUGGUGGGGUAAUGGCCUACCAAGGCGACGACGGGUAGCCGGCCUGAGAGGGUGGACGGCCACACUGGGACUGAGACACGGCCCAGACUCCUACGGGAGGCAGCAGUGGGGAAUAUUGCACAAUGGGCGCAAGCCUGAUGCAGCGACGCCGCGUGGGGGAUGAAGGCCUUCGGGUUGUAAACCUCUUUCAGUAGGGAAGAAGCGAAAGUGACGGUACCUGCAGAAGAAGCGCCGGCUAACUACGUGCCAGCAGCCGCGGUAAUACGUAGGGCGCAAGCGUUAUCCGGAAUUAUUGGGCGUAAAGAGCUCGUAGGCGGUUUGUCGCGUCUGCCGUGAAAGUCCGGGGCUUAACUCCGGAUCUGCGGUGGGUACGGGCAGACUAGAGUGAUGUAGGGGAGACUGGAAUUCCUGGUGUAGCGGUGAAAUGCGCAGAUAUCAGGAGGAACACCGAUGGCGAAGGCAGGUCUCUGGGCAUUAACUGACGCUGAGGAGCGAAAGCAUGGGGAGCGAACAGGAUUAGAUA
rnacentral:rRNA from 1 species